rnacentral:rRNA from 1 species
AUUGAACGCUGGCGGCAGGCUUAACACAUGCAAGUCGAGCGGGGUGGCGAAGGGGUGAGUAAUGUAUCUGAACGUGCCCAGUCGCGGGGGAUAACUAUGCGAAAGCGUAGCUAUUACUGCACACUCUUGGAGUGGCCGAUAUCGGAUUAGCUAGUUGGCGGGGUAACGGCUAACCAAGGCGACGAUCCCUAGCUGGUUUGAGAGGAGGACCAGCCACACUGGAACUGAGACACGGCCCAGACUCCUACGGGAGGCAGCAGUGGGGAAUUUUGGACAAUGGGGGAAACCCUGAUCCAGCCAUCCCGCGUGUGCGAUGAAGGCCUUCGGGUUGUAAAGCACUUUUAGCGAGGAAGCGGUACCUGCAGAAUAAGCACCGGCUAACUACGUGCCAGCAGCCGCGGUAAUAC